rnacentral:rRNA from 1 species
GGGUUGUGAGGUUAAGCGACUAAGCGUACACGGUGGAUGCCCUGGCAGUCAGAGGCGAUGAAGGGCGUGCUAAUCUGCGAUAAGCGCCGGUAAGGUGAUAUGAACCGUUAUAACCGGCGAUACCCGAAUGGGGAAACCCAGUGUGAUUCGUCACACUAUCAUUAACUGAAUCCAUAGGUUAAUGAGGCGAACCGGGGGAACUGAAACAUCUAAGUACCCCGAGGAAAAGAAAUCAACCGAGAUUCCCCCAGUAGCGGCGAGCGAACGGGGAGGAGCCCAGAGCCUGAAUCAGCAUGUGUGUUAGUGGAAGCGUCUGGAAAGGCGCGCGAUACAGGGUGACAGCCCCGUACACAAAAGCGCAUGUGCUGUGAGCUCGAUGAGUAGGGCGGGACACGUGGUAUCCUGUCUGAAUAUGGGGGGACCAUCCUCCAAGGCUAAAUACUCCUGACUGACCGAUAGUGAACCAGUACCGUGAGGGAAAGGCGAAAAGAACCCCGGCGAGGGGAGUGAAAAAGAACCUGAAACCGUGUACGUACAAGCAGUGGGAGCACAGGUUUACCUGUGUGACUGCGUACCUUUUGUAUAAUGGGUCAGCGACUUAUAUUCUGUAGCAAGGUUAACCGUAUAGGGGAGCCGGAGGGAAACCGAGUCUUAAUUGGGCGUUAAGUUGCAGGGUAUAGACCCGAAACCCGGUGAUCUAGCCAUGGGCAGGUUGAAGGUUGGGUAACACUAACUGGAGGACCGAACCGACUAAUGUUGAAAAAUUAGCGGAUGACCUGUGGCUGGGGGUGAAAGGCCAAUCAAACCGGGAGAUAGCUGGUUCUCCCCGAAAGCUAUUUAGGUAGCGCCUCGUGAAUUCAUCUCCGGGGGUAGAGCACUGUUUCGGCUAGGGGGCCAUCCCGGCUUACCAACCCGAUGCAAACUGCGAAUACCGGAGAAUGUUAUCACGGGAGACACACGGCGGGUGCUAACGUCCGUCGUGAAGAGGGAAACAACCCAGACCGCCAGCUAAGGUCCCAAAGUCAUGGUUAAGUGGGAAACGAUGUGGGAAGGCCCAGACAGCCAGGAUGUUGGCUUAGAAGCAGCCAUCAUUUAAAGAAAGCGUAAUAGCUCACUGGUCGAGUCGGCCUGCGCGGAAGAUGUAACGGGGCUAAACCAUGCACCGAAGCUGCGGCAGCGAACGUAUCACCCAAGACAACUUUACGGAGUUGACGAUUGACGGAGCGAAGCGACGUCAAAGCGUUCAUUAAAGUCGAGUUGGCUUAGGGAUACGUUCGUUGGGUAGGGGAGCGUUCUGUAAGCCUGUGAAGGUGUGUCGUGAGGCAUGCUGGAGGUAUCAGAAGUGCGAAUGCUGACAUAAGUAACGAUAAAGCGGGUGAAAAGCCCGCUCGCCGGAAGACCAAGGGUUCCUGUCCAACGUUAAUCGGGGCAGGGUGAGUCGACCCCUAAGGCGAGGCCGAAAGGCGUAGUCGAUGGGAAACGGGUUAAUAUUCCCGUACUUGGUGUUACUGCGAAGGGGGGACGGAGAAGGCUAUGUUGGCCGGGCGACGGUUGUCCCGGUUUAAGCGUGUAGGUGUGUGUUCCAGGUAAAUCCGGUUCACUUUAACACUGAGGCGUGACGACGAGGCACUACGGUGCUGAAGCAACAAAUGCCCUGCUUCCAGGAAAAGCCUCUAAGCAUCAGGUAACAUCAAAUCGUACCCCAAACCGACACAGGUGGUCAGGUAGAGAAUACCAAGGCGCUUGAGAGAACUCGGGUGAAGGAACUAGGCAAAAUGGUGCCGUAACUUCGGGAGAAGGCACGCUGACACGUAGGUGAAGUGAUUUACUCAUGGAGCUGAAGUCAGUCGAAGAUACCAGCUGGCUGCAACUGUUUAUUAAAAACACAGCACUGUGCAAACACGAAAGUGGACGUAUACGGUGUGACGCCUGCCCGGUGCCGGAAGGUUAAUUGAUGGGGUCAGCGUAAGCGAAGCUCCUGAUCGAAGCCCCGGUAAACGGCGGCCGUAACUAUAACGGUCCUAAGGUAGCGAAAUUCCUUGUCGGGUAAGUUCCGACCUGCACGAAUGGCGUAAUGAUGGCCAGGCUGUCUCCACCCGAGACUCAGUGAAAUUGAACUCGCUGUGAAGAUGCAGUGUACCCGCGGCAAGACGGAAAGACCCCGUGAACCUUUACUAUAGCUUGACACUGAACAUUGAGCCUUGAUGUGUAGGAUAGGUGGGAGGCUUUGAAGUGUGGACGCCAGUCUGCAUGGAGCCGACCUUGAAAUACCACCCUUUAAUGUUUGAUGUUCUAACGUGGACCCGUAAUCCGGGUUGCGGACAGUGUCUGGUGGGUAGUUUGACUGGGGCGGUCUCCUCCUAAAGAGUAACGGAGGAGCACGAAGGUUGGCUAAUCCUGGUCGGACAUCAGGAGGUUAGUGCAAUGGCAUAAGCCAGCUUGACUGCGAGCGUGACGGCGCGAGCAGGUGCGAAAGCAGGUCAUAGUGAUCCGGUGGUUCUGAAUGGAAGGGCCAUCGCUCAACGGAUAAAAGGUACUCCGGGGAUAACAGGCUGAUACCGCCCAAGAGUUCAUAUCGACGGCGGUGUUUGGCACCUCGAUGUCGGCUCAUCACAUCCUGGGGCUGAAGUAGGUCCCAAGGGUAUGGCUGUUCGCCAUUUAAAGUGGUACGCGAGCUGGGUUUAGAACGUCGUGAGACAGUUCGGUCCCUAUCUGCCGUGGGCGCUGGAGAACUGAGGGGGGCUGCUCCUAGUACGAGAGGACCGGAGUGGACGCAUCACUGGUGUUCGGGUUGUCAUGCCAAUGGCACUGCCCGGUAGCUAAAUGCGGAAGAGAUAAGUGCUGAAAGCAUCUAAGCACGAAACUUGCCCCGAGAUGAGUUCUCCCUGAGACUUAGAGUCUCCUGAAGGAACGUUGAAGACGACGACGUUGAUAGGCCGGGUGUGUAAGCGCAGCGAUGCGUUGAGCUAACCGGUACUAAUGAACCGUGAGGCUUAACCUUACAACGCCGAAG